GCCGGCGUAGCUCAGUUGGUAGAGCAGUGGUUUUGUAAACCAAAGGUCGGGGGUUCGAAUCCCUCCGCCGGCACCA
rnacentral:tRNA from 1 species